AAUCAACGCUGGCGGCGUGCCUCAGACAUGCAAGUCGAACGAUUAAACUUCCCUUCGGGGAAGAUAUAAAGUGGCGCACGGGUGAGUAACACGUAAGUAAUCUACCUUCGAGUGGGGAAUAACAUCGGGAAACCGAUGCUAAUACCGCAUAACGCAGCGGCACCUUAUGGUGACAGUUGUUAAAGGAGCAAUUCGCUUGAAGAGGAGCUUGCGGCAGAUUAGCUAGUUGGUAAGGUAAUGGCUUACCAAGGCUUCGAUCUGUAUCCGGUCUAAGAGGACGGUCGGACACACUGACACUGAAUAACGGGUCAGACUCCUACGGGAGGCAGCAGUCGGGAAUUUUGGGCAAUGGGCGAAAGCCUGACCCAGCAACGCCGCGUGAAGGAUGAAGUAUUUCGGUAUGUAAACUUCGAAAGAAUGGGAAGAACUCAAUGACGGUACCAUUUAUAAGCUCCGGCUAACUACGUGCCAGCAGCCGCGGUAAUACGUAGGGAGCAAGCGUUGUUCGGAUUUACG
rnacentral:rRNA from 1 species